UGGGGAAUAUUGGACAAUGGGCGCAAGCCUGAUCCAGCCAUGCCGCGUGAGUGAUGAAGGCCUUAGGGUUGUAAAGCUCUUUUGUCCGGGAGGAUAAUGACCGUACCGGAAGAAUAAGCUCCGGCUAACUUCGUGCCAGCAGCCGCGGUAAUACGAAGGGAGCUAGCGUUGUUCGGAAUUACUGGGCGUAAAGCGCAUGCAGGCGGAUCGUUAAGUCGAGGGUGAAAUCCCAGGGCUCAACCCUGGAACUGCCUUCGAUACUGGCGACCUUGAGUCCGGGAGAGGUGAGUGGAACUCCGAGUGUAGAGGUGAAAUUCGUAGAUAUUCGGAAGAACACCAGUGGCGAAGGCGGCUCACUGGCCCGGUACUGACGCUGAGAUGCGAAAGCGUGGGGAGCAAACAGG
rnacentral:rRNA from 1 species